rnacentral:rRNA from 1 species
AGCAGCCGCGGUAAUUCCAGCUCCAAUAGCGUAUACUAAAGUUGUUGCAGUUAAAAAGCUCGUAGUUGAAUUUCGGGGUCAGUAGGCUGGUCGUGCCACAGGUAUGUACUGGUCUUACUGAUUCCUCCUUCCUGAUGAACCGUAAUGCCAUUAAUUUGGUGUUGCGGGGAAUCUGGACUGUUACUUUGAAAAAAUUAGAGUGUUUAAAGCAGGCUAACGCUUGAAUACAUUAGCAUGGAAUAAUGAAAUAGGACGAUCGAUCCUAUUUUGUUGGUUUCUAGGAUUGACGUAAUGAUUAAUAGGGAUAGUUGGGGGCAUUAGUAUUCAAUUGUCAGAGGUGAAAUUCUUGGAUUUAUUGAAGACUAACUACUGCGAAAGCAUUUGCCAAGGAUGUUUUCAUUAAUCAAGAACGAAAGUUAGGGGAUCGAAGACGAUCAGAUACCGUCGUAGUCUUAACCAUAAACUAUGCCGACUAGGGAUCGGAUGAUGUUAAUUUUUAAUGACUCAUUCGGCGCCUUAA